rnacentral:rRNA from 1 species
GAUGAACGCUGGCGGCGUGCUUAACACAUGCAAGUCGAACGGAAAGGCUCCUGCUUGCUGCGGUACUCGAGUGGCGAACGGGGGAGUAACACGAGGGUGACCUGACCAGCACUUCGGGAGAAGCCAGGGAAACUGGGUCUAAUACAGGAUAGGACAAGGGCUUGGAUGCAAUUGUGGAAAGCUUUGUAGGUGUUGGAUGAGAUCGCGGCGUAGCAGCUUGUUGGUGGGGUAAUGGCCUACGAAGGCGGCGACGGGUAGCCGGCCUGGGAGGGUGUACGGCCACCUUGGCACUAAGGUACGGCCCAGACUCCUACGGGAGGCAGCAGUGGCAAACCUUGCACAAUCGUCGCAAGCCUGUUGCAGCGACGCCGCGUUUGUGAUGACGGCCUUCUGGUUGUGAACUCCUUUCGCUAGGGACGAAGCUCAAGUGACGGUACCUGGAGAAGAAGCACCGGCUAACUACGUG